rnacentral:rRNA from 1 species
AUUGAACGCUGGCGGCAGGCCUAACACAUGCAAGUCGAGCGGAUGAAGGGAGCUUGCUCCUGGAUUCAGCGGCGGACGGGUGAGUAAUGCCUAGGAAUCUGCCUGGUAGUGGGGGAUAACGUCCGGAAACGGGCGCUAAUACCGCAUACGUCCUGAGGGAGAAAGUGGGGGAUCUUCGGACCUCACGCUAUCAGAUGAGCCUAGGUCGGAUUAGCUAGUUGGUGGGGUAAAGGCCUACCAAGGCGACGAUCCGUAACUGGUCUGAGAGGAUGAUCAGUCACACUGGAACUGAGACAAGGUCCAGACUCCUACGGGAGGCAGCAGUGGGGAAUAUUGGACAAUGGGCGAAAGCCUGAUCCAGCCAUGCCGCGUGUGUGAAGAAGGUCUUCGGAUUGUAAAGCUCUUUAAGUUGGGAGGAAGGGCAGUAAGUUAAUACCUUGCUGUUUUGACGUUACCAACAGAAUAAGCACCGGCUAACUUCGUG